rnacentral:rRNA from 1 species
UGAACGCUGGCGGCAGGCCUCACACAUGCAAGUCGAACGGUAACAGGCAGCAGCUUGCUGCUUCGCUGACGAGUGGCGGACGGGUGAGUAAUGUCUGGGAAGCUGCCUGAUGGAGGGGGAUAACUACUGGAAACGGUAGCUAAUACCGCAUAAUGUCGCAAGACCAAAGAGGGGGACCUUCGGGCCUCUUGCCAUCGGAUGUGCCCAGAUGGGAUUAGCUUGUUGGUGGGGUAACGGCUCACCAAGGCGACGAUCCCUAGCUGGUCUGAGAGGAUGACCAGCCACACUGGGACUGAGACACGGUCCAGACUCCUACGGGAGGCAGCAGUGGGGAAUAUUGCACAAUGGGCGCAAGCCUGAUGCAGCCAUGCCGCGUGUAUGAAGAAGGCCUUCGGGUUGUAAAGUACUUUCAGCGGGGAGGAAGGGAGUAAAGUUAAUACCUUUGCUCAUUGACGUUACCCGCAGAAGAAGCACCGGCUAACUCCGUG